rnacentral:tRNA from 1 species
GCUUUCGUGGUAUAGCGGUAGCACAUUCGGCUCGUAUUCGAGAGGUCCAGGGUAGAGUCCCGGCAAAAGCA